rnacentral:rRNA from 1 species
AUCUACAGCCAUACCACCCAGAAGGCUCCCAAUCUCGUCUGAUCUUGAAAGCUGAGCAGGGUUGGGCCUGGUUAAUACUUGGAUGGUAGAAAACAGUGUGAAGUCGAGG